AGGGUGUAAACGCUGCAGACUUGGUGUUGGAAGUCCUUUGGGGGCAUUCAGUGCCGGAGAGAAGUUGUUAAGUCUGCUACUUGGGGAGUACGUCCGCAAGGAUGAAACUUAAAGGAAUUGGCGGGGGGAGCACCGCAACGGGAGGAGCGUGCGGUUUAAUUGGAUUCAACACCGUAAAACUCACCAGGGAAGACUGUUACAUGAAGGCCGAGAUGAAGACUCUGCUAGAUUUUCAGAGAGGAGGUGCAUGGCGUCAGUGAC
rnacentral:rRNA from 1 species